rnacentral:misc_RNA from 1 species
AACAUCGCGCACCUGCGGGAACCUGCGGAAGGAUCAUUACACAAUUAAAAUAUGAAGGCUUCGGCUGGAUUAUUUUUAUCACCCUUGUCUUUUGCGCACUUGUUGUUUCCUGGGCGGGUUCGCCCGCCACCAGGACCACACCAUAAACCUUUUUUAUGCAGUUGCAAUCAGCGUCAGUAUAACAAAUGUAAAUCAUUUACAACUUUUAACAAUGGAUCU